CCUGGCUCAGAUUGAACGCUGGCGGCAUGCCUUACACAUGCAAGUCGAACGGCAGCGGACCUUCGGGUGCCGGCGAGUGGCGAACGGGUGAGUAAUAUAUCGGAACGUACCUUUCAGUGGGGGAUAACGUAGCGAAAGUUACGCUAAUACCGCAUAUUCUGUGAGCAGGAAAGCAGGGGAUCGCAAGACCUUGCGCUGAUUGAGCGGCCGAUAUCAGAUUAGCUAGUUGGUGAGGUAAAGGCUCACCAAGGCGACGAUCUGUAGCGGGUCUGAGAGGAUGAUCCGCCACACUGGAACUGAGACACGGUCCAGACUCCUACGGGAGGCAGCAGUGGGGAAUUUUGGACAAUGGGCGCAAGCCUGAUCCAGCCAUGCCGCGUGAGUGAAGAAGGCCUUCGGGUUGUAAAGCUCUUUCGGCCGGGAAGAGAUCGCACAGGUUAAUACCCUGUGUGGAUGACGGUACCGGAAUAAGAAGCACCGGCUAACUACGUG
rnacentral:rRNA from 1 species